rnacentral:misc_RNA from 1 species
CAGAGCAUCAUGCCCUUCGGGGUAGAUCUCUCACCCUGUGUCUUAUGUACCCUUUGUUGCUUUGGCGGGCCGCCCUCGGCCACCGGCUCCGGCUGGUGCGUGCCCGCCAGAGGAAACCAAACUCUGAAUGUUAGUGUCGUCUGAGUACUAUAUAAUAGUUA